CUCCCCUGGCUUCCUGCAGUACCUUCUGCUAUGACAGGAAAAGCAGCCCAAAGCCAGAGACCUGAAGGAAUUCCUAUCUCCCACUUGGCCAUGAGAAUACAGAGUAUCAUUCUAAGACUACUGCUAUGCACUUGGUUCUGGGCUGAGCACAUAUAAAGGACAGGAAUCUCCUCUGAUCCCAGACCAAGCCCAUAACUCAGAUCACUGACUGCCUGCUGCUCUCUCAUCCGGCGUGUUCAUGCGAAAGGCUGUGUGUGACUGAGCACCGGCACAGGGCUCCAGCCCGGGUUUUGGAGUUGGGACCUGCUCUCUGCUGAGUACACAGAAAGCCAGAGCUUGAUUUGAGCCAAGAUGAUCUAUCAACCAACCACGCACACCGGCUGGCCGCACACAGAUGGUGCUCUUCGGUGGGCAAGCAUUUGCCUGGAUAUGGACGCCUAUAAUCCAUCACCACCGGGAAGCCGAUCAGAUGAGUGUUCUCAUGCUCCCCCACUGCACAUCUGGGGAAACCGAGGUUGAAGAGACCACCCACGAUCACACAGUACAUCAGUGGUCCUCAUCUUCUACUUUCUUUUGCCUACACAUCUCUGCCCACCUUGAGUGUGAUGAUGUGAGGAGUCAGUGCUGGCCUGGUAGCCAAGGUGGGAUGGGUUCGCUGAGGAUGUGGACAUGCAGAAAGCUCUGGACAAGCACUGCACAGAAGGCACUGACUGAACUCUCCGGAGUCAGGAGCUGCAUCCUGAGUAUUCAGGGUUGUUCUUAGUACAAGCCAAGAAGCAAAGCAAAAAGCAAAGCAGUCUCUGGAAAACUCUAGAGAAGUAAGCAAACCACGUUCAUGGAGUCAGACCAUCCCUGGGUCCACUCAGCGGAGCCACCUGCAGGCGGCAAAGUGUUCCCUGAGCCUCCAGCGCCCGUCUUCCAAGUGGAAUAACAGGCCUGUGCCCUCCGACAGGUCCAGGGGCUCCGUGUCCGUGUCUGGUGUGAAUGGAGUGCUCCUUAUUUCCUCCUUGAGCCCCAAGGAAGUGUCAUCCACUGCUGUUCACUCCACAGGACAUCCGGGUUAACCAGGUGAAGAGUGGCCAGUUCUACAUCUCAUAAAAAUGGAACUGCACGUGUGAGCGUCCACACAGCACAGGCUGCU
rnacentral:lncRNA from 1 species